rnacentral:misc_RNA from 1 species
GAAAUGCGAUAAUUAAUGUGAAUUGCAGAAUUCAGUGAAUCAUCGAGUCUUUGAACGCACAUUGCGCCCCCUGGUAUUCCGGGGGGCAUGCCUGUCCGAGCGUCAUUGCUGCCCUCAAGCACGGCUUGUGUGUUGGGCUUCCGUCCCUGGCAACGGGGACGGGCCCAAAAGGAAGUGGCGGCACCAUGUCUGGUCCUCGAGCGUAUGGGGCUUUGUCACCCGCUCCCGUAGGUCCAGCUGGCAGCUAGCCUCGCAACCAAUCUUUUUAACCAGGUUGACCUCGGAUCAGGUAGGGAUACCCGCUGAACUUAAGC